UAUUAUAGUUCGCAACUAAUAAAUAAAAACACUUAUUUUUAUCUAUUAUAACAUUGCAAACAAAUCUUUAAUAUUUAGUCAUAUUAAACUGUGCUAGUG